GAUGAACGCUGGCGGCGUGCCUAAUACAUGCAAGUCGAGCGAAUGGAUUAAGAGCUUGCUCUUAUGAAGUUAGCGGCGGACGGGUGAGUAACACGUGGGUAACCUGCCCAUAAGACUGGGAUAACUCCGGGAAACCGGGGCUAAUACCGGAUAACAUUUUGAACCGCAUGGUGCGAAAUUGAAAGGCGGCUUCGGCUGUCACUUAUGGAUGGACCCGCGUCGCAUUAGCUAGUUGGGGAGGUAACGGCUGACCAAGGCAACGAUGCGGAGCCGACCUGAGAGGGUGAUCGGCCACACUGGGACUGAGACGCGACCCAGACUCCUACGGGAGGCAGCAGUAGGGAAUCUUCCGCAAUGGACGAAAGUCCGACGGAGCAACGCCGCGUGAGUGAUGAAGGCUUUCGGGUCGUAAAACUCUGUUGUUAGGGAAGAACAAGUGCUAGUUGAAUAAGCUGGCACCUUGACGGUACCUAACCAGAAAGCCACGGCUAACUACGUGCCAGCAGCCGCCGCCG
rnacentral:rRNA from 1 species